UACGGAGGGUGCGAGCGUUGUCCGGAAUCAUUGGGCGUAAAGGGCGCGUAGGUGGCCCGGUGAGUCUUUGGUGAAAGCGCGGGGCUCAACCCUGCGUCGGCCAGGGAUACUGCCGCGGCUCGAGCACUGUAGAGGCAGGCGGAAUUCCGGGUGUAGCGGUGGAAUGCGUAGAUAUCGAGAGGAACACCUGCGGCGAAGGCGGGUUGCUGGGCUGACACUGACGCUGAUGCGCGAAAGCCAGGGGAGCGAACGGG
rnacentral:rRNA from 1 species